AACUCCUACGGGAGGCAGCAGUAGGGAAUUUUCGGCAAUGGAGGAAACUCUGACCGAGCAACGCCGCGUGAACGAUGAAGUAUUUCGGUACGUAAAGUUCUUUUAUUAGGGAAGAAUAAAUGAUGGAAAAAUCAUUCUGACGGUACCUAAUGAAUAAGCCCCGGCUAACUAUGUGCCAGCAGCCGCGGUAAUACAUAGGGGGCAAGCGUUAUCCGGAAUUAUUGGGCGUAAAGGGUGCGUAGGCGGUUAAAUAAGUUUAUGGUCUAAGUGCAAUGCUCAACAUUGUGAUGCUAUAAAAACUGUUUAGCUAGAGUAAGAUAGAGGCAAGUGGAAUUCCAUGUGUAGUGGUAAAAUGCGUAAAUAUAUGGAGGAACACCAGUAGCGAAGGCGGCUUGCUGGGUCUUUACUGACGCUGAGGCACGAAAGCGUGGGGAGCAAACAGGAUUAGAUACCCUGGUAGUCCACGCCGUAAACGAUGAGUACUAAACGUUGGGUAAAACCAGUGUUGAAGUUAACACAUUAAGUACUCCGCCUGAGUAGUACGUACGCAAGUAUGAAACUUAAAGGAAUUGACGGGACUCCGCACAAGCGGUGGAUCAUGUUGUUUAAUUCGAAGGUACCCGAAAAACCUCACCAGGUCUUGACAUGCUUCUGCAAAGCUGUAGAAACACAGUGGAGGUUAUCAGUUGCACAGGUGGUGCAUGGUUGUCGUCAGCUCGUGUCGUGAGAUGUUGGGUUAAGUCCCGCAACGAGCGCAACCCUUAUUGUUAGUUACCAGCACGUAAUGGUGGGGACUUUAGCAAGACUGCCAGUGAUAAAUUGGAGGAAGGUGGGGACGACGUCAAAUCAUCAUGCCCCUUAUGA
rnacentral:rRNA from 1 species